UCUAUCAGCUGAACUCAAGCCCACAUGAACUCAACUCUUCCAUCGCCAAAUUGCACUUGAUCAUCUUUUAAUUCGAUCAUGAUUAAGUGCUUGUAGGCUUGGUCAACGAAGUUAUCGUCACCGAUGAUGCCAACCCAAUUCCCUUCUUUGUCUCAACUCUCAACGUGUCAUAACGUAGGAAAAGCUCCACCAAAAUAACCCUAGCUAGGAGCACCACCAAAUCUUUCCCUGGACACUGCUUAUCUUCUACCAUUGGAUCUUUCGUCUCACGAUCAUUUGACCAGUGUACAUACUUCAGUAGCUUUUCUG
rnacentral:misc_RNA from 1 species